UACAGAGGUCCCGAGCGUUGUUCGGAUUCACUGGGCGUAAAGGGUGCGUAGGUGGUGGGGUAAGUCUCGUGUGAAAGCUCGCAGCUUAACUGCGAAAAGUCACGGGAUACUAUUCUGCUGGAGGCUUGGAGGGGGGACUGGAAUACUUGGUGUAGCAGUGAAAUGCGUAGAGAUCGUAAGGAAGACCAGUGGCGAAGGCGGGUCUCUGGACAGUUCCUGACACUGAGGCACGAAGGCCAGGGGAGCAAACGGG
rnacentral:rRNA from 1 species